UGGCAAAGCUAGGCUAGGUCUUGGAGGCUGGUGUAAGGCGAUGUGGGUGAAGGCAGGAGGCUGAUGGAAAGACUGGGGGGAAGAAAAGCCGAAAUGGAUUCACGGUGCCUUGGAUGAAGGACGAGAGGGGAACUGCAAGCUCCUUCAACUGGUUCUGUCCGGUGAGAAGUGAUCAAGCUUGGGCUGACAAGAGGCUCAGGGAGCCCUCACGUUCUUUCGCUUUUUUACCUGCCAAUCAAACUGCUACAAGACAACACCCUGAUCUGGCAUGGACAU
ensembl:misc_RNA